rnacentral:rRNA from 1 species
ACGGCUCAGUAACACGUAGCUAAUCUGCUCUAAUCCACAGAAUACCCUCGGGAAACUGAGAACAAUGCUGUAUAGGUGAUGUUUUCUGGAACGUGACAUCAUCCAAACGCAAGGGAUUAGAAUGAGGCUGCGGCCUAUCAGGUUGUUGUUGAGGUAAAGGCUCAACAAGCCUAUGACGGGUAGGGGCCUUGAGAGAGGGAGCCCCCAGAAGGACUCUGAGACACAAGUCCUAGCCCUACGGGGUGCAGCAGGCGCGAAAAUUUCCCAAUGCACGCAAGUGUGAGGAAGGAAUUCUGAGUGCUAGAGUUUUUACUUUAGCUUUUGCCAUGUGUAAAAAGCAUGGCGAAUAAGGACUGGGCAAGAUCGGUGCCAGCAGCCGCGGUAAUCCCGACGGUCCGAGUGGGACUCACAUUUAUUGGGUCUAAAACAUCCGUAGCCUGCUUCUUAAGUUUUGUGUUAAAUUGUUAUUCUUAAGAUAACAGCCGCACAAAAUACUGUGAAGCUAGGGAUUGGGAGACGUAACGAGUACAGCUUGAGUAGCGGUAAAAUACGUUAAUCUCAGGUGGACUAACGAUUAGCGAAGGCAUCUUACGAUGACGGUUCUGACAGUGAGGGAUGAAGGCUAGGGGCGCAAAUUGGAUUAGAUACCCAAGUAGUCCUAGCAGUAAACACUGCGCACUAAACCUUGUGACCUCCUCGAGAGGUUGCAGGGCUGCAGCGAAGGCGAAGAGUGCGCUACCUGGGAAGUAUAGCCGCAAGGCCGAAACUUAAAGGAAUUGGCGGGGGAGCA